UAAAUGUGCCCUUCUGGGACUCCCUGAGCAUCUGUCUCAUCCAGGAGGGGAGAUUUAAAUAGAAGGGGACUGAAGCUAGAGCAAGUGGGGCUACAGUGCCCCACCUCACAGCUCAUUCUCUUCCCUUCCCCAGGAGUGCGAGAACCUGAAGAACUUCUCCUCGCCCUGCACUGUCAUCUCUGCUCUGCAGAAAACCUCCACAAGCCACCUGAAGAACACACGGGGGAAGUUUCCCGGUGGGGUGCCGUUUGUGGGCAGGAGGCCCUGGUCAUGAGACACAAUGGUGUUGGCUGGGCUGUUCCAGGAGGAGUUGCCGAGCUGGCGCCAUCAACAGGUCUCUGGCUUCCAUGAAGCCAGGACCCCGCUGCUCCUUCUAUCUUCACCACAUCUCCAAGGGGCUGCAGCCUGCCUGCCCCAGGGAUGCGCAUGGCAGAGGAUUCCCAUGGCCCAGGUGGACAAACAGGCUGCUCAUCCUUAGGUGAGAGAUGUGUGUGCAUUCUGGGACUCCCCCCUGGACCCCUAGAGCAGUCACUUGAGUGAACCACAGGAGUCUAACCUGAGUGCCUGGUUGGCAAUGACAUAUGCCCCCGGUGGCUUAUGAGAAGCGUCUAGGCAACUGAUGGAUUCUUAGUGGAUCCUGCUGAAAGGAAGUUAGGAGUCUCAUGUAAACAGGGAAUCAAAAUGUCCUGUCAUCCCCUUCCCUGUUGAUCAGAGGUGGCACCUUGGGGGUCCAGUUCCUGAGUGGAUAAAGAAAGAGUUCAGGGGCCUGCCCAGUGGCGC